GCUCAAGUUUUGAGCUACAGUGAAUCGCUCACUUCCUUCAUAUUUGAAAGGCUACUGUAUCACUUUCAUCCUUAUAUUUUAUUAUAAUUUUAAUACAUAGCCGGUUACUUUUCUCUCUCUCUCUCCUUUCCCUCCCCGCGUCUUUCUCCCCCCCUUUCUCUCUUUCUCUCGUUUUCGUCCGAGCUCAGAAAAUCGAAAGGGACUCUUCUCCUCCACGCAAAAUCAAAGCAAAUCCAUGGUUUCUCUCCUCAAAUCAGAAGCAGAGUGAUUUACUGGGUUGCUUCCUUCAGCACUUGGCGCAACGUUCUGCUUCCUUCAGUUGAAUUUGUGAAGGUUUAUUGGCUCCAAAUGUUGCAGCUGUAUAGUUGCAGUCAAUAGUAUAGUUUGUAGGUUUUAUUAGAUCCAUCCGAGAUGUAUAUUCCAUAUUGUGUACCAGUUUUAGAAUCUGAAUUUGUAAAGUUGUGUAGAGCUAAAUCCAGCUUUUAAGAAACUGGUUUUAUACGAGAUGUGUAGCUUUUAAUCCACUGAAUUUGUAUUUCUAUUUAAGAAGAUGUUGCAGCUGUAUGUCUCAUAUUUAUA